AGAGUUUGAUCCUGGCUCAGGAUGAACGCUGGCGGCGUGCUUAACACAUGCAAGUCGAACGAACCUUCGGGUUAGUGGCGGACGGGUGAGUAACGCGUGAGAAUCUGCCCUCAGGAGGGGGAUAACGGUUGGAAACGACCGCUAAUACCCCAUAUGCCGAGAGGUGAAAUGAAUUUCGCCUGAGGAUGAGCUCGCGUCUGAUUAGUUAGUUGGUGGGGUAAUGGCCUACCAAGACAUCGAUCAGUAGCUGGUCUGAGAGGAUGAUCAGCCACACUGGGACUGAGACACGGCCCAGACUCCUACGGGAGGCAGCGGUGGGGAAUUUUCCGCAAUGGGCGAAAGCCUGACGGAACAACGCCGCGUGAGGGAUGAAGGCCUCUGGGCUGUAAACCUCUUUUAUCAAGGAAGAAGAUCUGACGGUACUUGAUGAAUAAGCCACGGCUAAUUCCGUGCCAGCAGCCGCGGUAAUACGGGAGUGGCAAGCGUUAUCCGGAAUUAUUGGGCGUAAAGCGUCCGCAGGCGGUCUGUCAAGUCUGCUGUUAAAGCGUGGAGCUUAACUCCAUUUCGGCAGUGGAAACUGACAGACUAGAGUGUGGUAGGGGCAGAGGGAAUUCCCGGUGUAGCGGUGAAAUGCGUAGAUAUCGGGAAGAACACCAGUGGCGAAGGCGCUCUGCUGGGCCAUAACUGACGCUCAUGGACGAAAGCCAGGGGAGCGAAAGGGAUUAGAUACCCCUGUAGUCCUGGCCGUAAACGAUGAACACUAGGUGUCGGGGGAAUCGACCCCCUCGGUGUCGUAGCCAACGCGUUAAGUGUUCCGCCUGGGGAGUACGCACGCGAGUGUGAAACUCAAAGGAAUUGACGGGGGCCCGCACAAGCGGUGGAGUAUGUGGUUUAAUUCGAUGCAACGCGAAGAACCUUACCAGGGUUUGACAUCCUGCGAAUCUCUUGGAAACGAGAGAGUGCCUUCGGGAACGCAGUGACAGGUGGUGCAUGGCUGUCGUCAGCUCGUG
rnacentral:rRNA from 1 species